rnacentral:rRNA from 1 species
CCUACGGGCUGCAGCAGUGAGGAAUAUUGGUCAAUGGCCGAAAGUCUGAACCAGCCAAGUCGCGUGAAGGAUGACUGCCCUAUGGGUUGUAAACUGCUUUUGUACGAGGGUAAACGCAGAUACGCGUAUCUGUCUGAAAGUAUCGUAAGAAUAAGGAUCGGCUAACUCCGUGCCAGCAGCCGCGGUAAUACGGAGGAUUCAAGCGUUAUCCGGAUUUAUUGGGUUUAAAGGGUGCGUAGGCGGUCGGUUAAGUUAGAGGUGAAAUCCCAGGGCUCAACUGCGGAAGGGCCUUGGAUACUGUGCGGCUAGAGAGUAGUUGCGGUAGGCGGAAUGUAUGGUGUAGCGGUGAAAUGCUUAGAGAUCAUACAGAACACCGAUUGCGAAGGCAGCUUACCAAGGUACUUCUGACGUUGAGGCACGAAAGCGUGGGGAGCAAACAGGAUUAGAUACCCGGGUAGUC